rnacentral:rRNA from 1 species
GACAGAGGAUGCAAGCGUUAUCCGGAAUGAUUGGGCGUAAAGCGUCUGUAGGUGGCUUUUCAAGUCCGCCGUCAAAUCCCAGGGCUCAACCCUGGACAGGCGGUGGAAACUACCAAGCUGGAGUACGGUAGGGGCAGAGGGAAUUUCCGGUGGAGCGGUGAAAUGCGUAGAGCUCGGGAAGAACAUCGGUGGCGAAAGCGCUCUACUGGACUGCAACUGACACUCAGGGACGAAAGCUAGGGGAGCGAAUGGG